ensembl:lncRNA
CAAAGUUAAGAGGCGUGACUUGCUGGAGGCGCCCCAGCUGCGAUGUAAAGACAGUAAUUAACCCUGCAGCAUCCACAGAAGUCAGCUGUUGUUUCAAGCAUGGAGUAUAUCGUUUCUGUUGUUGAGCGGAAUUUAACACUGGCCGUGUUUGGUAAACACAUUUUUGGACCUUCAAAUCUUGACCAAGUGACCAGCAUCUGCGUCAGUUGACCCCGUACAUGUGACCAUGAGAGCGGAUGAAUAUGAUUAACGCACGUUUGGUAAUUUACUUGAAAGUGUUAUGCAGAGUAAUGCUGAGAUUAUG